UACGUAGGGUGCGAGCGUUGUCCGGAAUUAUUGGGCGUACAGAGCUCGUAGGCGGUCUGUCGCGUCGAUCGUGAAAACUUGGGGCUUAACCCUGAGCUUGCGGUCGAUACGGGCAUGACUGGAGUUCGGCAGGGGAGACUGGAAUUCCUGGUGUAGCGGUGAAAUGCGCAGAUAUCAGGAGGAACACCGGUGGCGAAGGCGGGUCUCUGGGCCGAUACUGACGCUGAGGAGCGAAAGCGUGGGGAGCGAACAGG
rnacentral:rRNA from 1 species